rnacentral:rRNA from 1 species
AUUGAACGCUGGCGGCAGGCCUAACACGUGCAAGUCGAGCGGAUGAAGGGAGCUUGCUCCUGGAUUCAGCGGCGGACGGGUGAGUAAUGCCUAGGAAUCUGCCUGGUAGUGGGGGAUAACGUCCGGAAACGGGCGCUAAUACCGCAUACGUCCUGAGGGAGAAAGUGGGGGAUCUUCGGACCUCACGCUAUCAGAUGAGCCUAGGUCGGAUUCGCUAGUUGGUGGGGUAAAGGCCUACCAAGGCGACGAUCCGUAACUGGUCUGGGAGGAUGAUCAGUCACACUGGAACUGAGACACGGUCCAGACUCCUACGGGAGGCAGCAGUGGGGAAUAUUGGACAAUGGGCGAAAGCCUGAUCCAGCCAUGCCGCGUGUGUGAAGAAGGUCUUCGGAUUGUAAAGCACUUUAAGUUGGGAGGAAGGGCAGUAAGUUAAUACCUUGCUGUUUUGACGUUACCAACAGAAUAAGCACCGGCUAACUUCGUG